rnacentral:rRNA from 1 species
UACGGAGGAUGCGAGCGUUAUCCGGAAUCAUUGGGUUUAAAGGGUCCGUAGGCGGGCUAAUAAGUCAGAGGUGAAAGCGCUUAGCUCAACUAAGCAACUGCCUUUGAAACUGUUAGUCUUGAAUGAUUGUGAAGUAGUUGGAAUGUGUAGUGUAGCGGUGAAAUGCUUAGAUAUUACACAGAACACCGAUAGCGAAGGCAUAUUACUAACAAUUUAUUGACGCUGAUGGACGAAAGCGUGGGGAGCGAACAGG